rnacentral:tRNA from 1 species
GGGCUCGUAGUUUAAUGGAUAAAAUGUCCGGUUUCGGCCCGGUCGAUGGGGGUUCGAUUCCCUCCGGGCCCA